rnacentral:lncRNA from 1 species
CUUAAUUCUUUCAUAUGUACUAAACAAUUAUACUUCUAAUAAUGAUAAAUAAUAAAUAUUAUUAUUCAGCAAAUGGCUUUUAAAUAGUUUUACGUAUUAAUGGUUUUGAUGUUCUUAAAGGUACAACUUAAGAUUAGUAGUGCAAAAGGCGAAAAAUGGUUUGUUGUUGAGAACUCGGGCUGAGAAAAGUGUUCACUUUUUAAAGUAUUGAACUGCACAUCUACUCUUAUUACUGUCAUUAUACUUUGAACAAUGGAUGAACAGAUUCCUAUUACCAAUUUUGUUUUGGAUGAAAAAUUUUAAACUUGGGAUGCGUUUGAUACGAAACUGAAACAAUAUCAAGACACAAAAUUUCUUACAGCUAUAGGAACAAACUCUGAAAAAAAUGAUACAUCAAAAGCAAGGUUUGCUAACUGCUAAGUUGGAUACUGAAAUUUGAGGUAAACCUAAAAUCCGUAAUGGACGGCAGUACGAUCAUAUUGAAAGACGACAUGAAACUAUACCACAUGCUUUCAACCAAAAUAUUGGAUGAGGAAGUAUUUCUCACCAGAAGCAUGGCAAACAUUUAAGGUUGCCUUAUCUUCUAAAAGGAAUAUUGCAGAAUAGAAUUGCACGGUAUGCAAUACAGACGUUCGUAAUGCGGCAUCACUGGUGUGUGAUGGCUGCUUGGAGUGGAUUCAUCAAAAAUGCGUCGGACUUAAACAUGCUCCAAAACCACUUACUCGGGAUAUGUAGAAACUGUCAUUGUAAAUACAAAAAUAAAGAAAUUGUAUGUAAUAAGUGUAUGUAUUGUAAAUAUAAAAUAAACGUCAUCAAUUUUUAUAAAUUAGUACAUAUUACAAG